UCCAUCUGGUCUAAUGUGUAAUUCAAUGGUUCUAUUUCUUUUUUUAAUUUUCUUUCAGGAUGAUCUAUCCAUUGAUGUAAAUGGGGUCUUAAAGUACCCUGCUAUUAUUGUGUUGCUGUCAAUUUCUCCCUUUAGGUCUGUUAGUAUUAGUGGUAUAUAUUUUGGUGUUCCUCUACUGGGUGCAUACAUAUUUGUGAUUGUUAUAUCCCCUUUUUGGCCCCCUUAUUAUCAUGUAAUGUCCUUCUUUGUCUCUUGUUACUUUCUUUUUCUUGAAGUCGAUUUGUCCGAUAUUAGUGUUGCGACUCUAGCUCUUUUUUUUUUCAUUCUUUAUUUGCAUGACAUAUCUUUUUCCAUCCUUUUAGUUUCAGUCUGUGUGUGUCUUUAGAUCUGAAGUGAGUCUUUUGUAGGCAGCAAAAAGAUGGUUCUUGUUUUCUUAUUUUUAAACCAUUUGGUCAACAUAUUUCUUUUGAUUGAAGCAUUUAACCAUUUACAUUUAAUUUAAUGAUUGAUAUGUAUGCAGUUUUGUCAUUUUGUUAAAUGUUUGGUGGGUAUUUUUCUUGUUCUUCUCUGAUCCUGUCUUCCUCUCUUGCUCUAUUCUCUUAUGUUUUUAUAACUUUCUUUGCUAUUAUGGUUAGGUUCUCUUCUCUUUGUUUUUUUGUGUAUCUACUGUAAGAUUUUGGUUUGUGGGUGUUGUGGGGUUCUUAUAUGACAUCCUAUGAAUACAACAUCUUAUAUUCACAUCUUAUGAAUAUAAAAACCUAUAAUAAACUGAUGGCCACUUAAGUUCAAGCACAACCUAACAGCAUUGCAUUUCUUACUCCCCCUUGUCUAUAUUUGAUGUAUAUAAUAUCUUCAUUUACACCUUUUUAUUAAGCAAUUUCCUUAACUAAGUUUUAGGUAUAAUUGCUUUUGCUGCUUUUUUCUUUUUGACCUUCAUACUAGCUUUAAAAUAGUUGACAUAAUACCUCUGCUCUUUGUUUGCUUUACCAGGAAAUUUUCCCCUUUCUUAAAUUUCUUCCUUCUACUAGGGUCUUUUCCUCUUAAAGAAGUCCCCUUAACAUUUCUUGUAAGGCUGAUUUAGUAGUUGUAAACUCUGAUGCUUAUCUGUGAAGUUCUUUAUCUCUUCUUCAAUUCUGAAUGAUAACCUUGCUGAAUAGAAUAUUUUUGGUUGGAGGUUUUUUCCAUUCAGCACUUUGAAUAUAUCAUGCUAUUCCCUUCUGGCUUGCAGGGUUUCUGCAGAAAAAUCCACUGGAAACCUUAUAGGGUGUCCCUUACAUGUAACUCACUGCUUUUUCUGCUGCUGAUGUUAGGAUUUUGUCUUUGACUUUGAACUUUGACAUUUUGAUUACAAUGUAUCUUGCUGUGGACCUCCUUGGGUUUAUCUUAUCUGGAGGUCUCUGUGUUCCCUGGACAAGGCAGAUGUUUUCUUCCCCAGAAUAGGGACGUUUCCAGCUAUUAUCUCUUCAAAUAAAUUUCUACUCCCUUCUCAUUCUCUUCUCCUCUUGACCCCUGUGAUGAGGGUGUCAGUGUGUCUGAUGUUGCCCUGGAGCUCGCCCACCCUGUCCUCAUUUCCUUUAAGUCCUCCUCCCUCCUCUUGAGCUCGAGUGAUUCCCAACACUCUACCCUCCACGUCACUGACCCAUUCUUCCUCACCCUCCAGUCAGCUGUUCAUUCCCUCUGGUGUAUUUUUUACUUCAUCUAUUGAAUUUUUCAUCUCUGAUUGGCUGGUUUUUAAGCUUUCUAUCUCUGUAGAGGUCCACCUUGAGCUCUGUUAAUGUUUUUUCAAGUCCAAUGAGUGUCUUUAUCACAUCUUUAAAUUCUUUAUCAAGUAGAUUGGUUAACGCUGUUUCAUUUAGUUUCUUUUCUGGGCUUUUUUUCUUGUUCUGUCAUUUGGAGCAUAUUCCUCUCUUUCCUCAGUUUGUGUGACUUUCUGUGCUUGGUUCUUUGAAGUAGUUGAAAGGACUCACUCUCACAGUCUUGAUUGGCCUUAUGUGGGAGAGUCCCCUGUGGGACUGCAUGUGUGUGCCUCACGGUUUUCACAAGCUGGAGACCCAGUCAGUGUGAGACAGGCUUUUCCUGGUGCUGAGGCUCCCAGGGUGUGGUCCUGGCUGUGAAGCCUUCAGGGCCCAUUGGAGGGGUUCCUGGGUGGACACCUGUGAUUUUGUGUUGGCAAUGAGAGGGUGGUGGGCCAGCAUCAGGUUGGGUGUGCCCUCCGGGUAACUCCUGGUUUGGCCCCAGGUGAGUCCUCCUUGCCUCCUUACCUAUAUGCCAGUGCACACUCUAGGCCACUGGGGAUCACUCCAGAGAAUUCCUGUAUCAAGCACCCACCAGGUAUCACUGCUGGCAUGGAGUCAGGCUCUGUGCACAUUACGUCUUCAUCCCUGCAUGCUCUAUGCUGCUCCUGGAAAUUCCCAUGUUCAUGCCUGUUAGUCCCAGUGGCAGCUGGAUCAGGGACCAUGUGUGUGCAUAUUCCCACAGCCCCUGUGGACUCUGACCUGCUCCAGGAAAUUCCCACAUCAGUGCCUACUGGGUCCCACUCAUGAUCAGGAGUCAGGCUCUGCACACAGGUUCCCUCAUGGUGUGCUAACGAGUUGCCUUGGCAGCACCAGCCUGAGGAUUCAUGCACCCUCCCUGUGAUCCAGGGAACUUCCUGGUCCUUCUGUUGGGGAUGGGUGGGUGGGUAACAGUGGGCAGCAAGUAAGGACUGGUGGAUCUCCUGCACAUACCCCUGGGUAUGGGCAAGUGUCAGGGGGCUGUGCAGACCAAGUCUGAGAUUGGUGUGUGCACCCAGACCCUGCCCCUGGCCACACUGAGGUGUGAAGAAGACGUGCCAACAAUGGCACUGGCCAGCUCCUCUGAUCCUGGGUCACCUCCAACAGCUUCCUUGCUGAGCAGUGGGUGCUUAGUUCUGGAACUUAGGUUCUUUCACUUAUGGUCUAGAUGCACUUUAAAUCCCAAGGCUCUUCUCCUGUGCCUCAGGGCAGGUGCCCACAGGCGGAUCCCUCAGGAAGAUCCCAACCCCUCCCCGCUGCUGGUGGCUAUGCUGGGGGAGGGGGCCCCAUGUUUACAGUGUCUUUGUCUCUCCUGCUGUUUGGGGUUUUUUAAAUGUAAUCUUCUGUCCUUCAUUUACAGAGAGUGUUCACUUUGGUCCCCAUUCUUCUUCCCGGUGAAAUACUCAGUAUGUAGAUACAGAUGCUGUGUGUAGGUAGGAGGUGAUUCAGGCUCUCUCUACUCCACCAUUUUCCCAGAAUCCUCCCAUUAUCUUUUUUCUUACCUAUUUUAGGAUCUUUUUGCAAACAAAAAAACCCUAUCUGUUAUAUGCAUAACUAAUUUUUUUAUAGAUUUCCACUAGUUUUUAGACCUUGUUUUAUCUGUAUGCAUAUGCACAUAUAGGGAGAGAGGGGGGAUGUCUUUGAAUUUUAUGUAGUCAAUUUACCAAUCAUUUCAUCUUUUUGUGUUUUUUUUGUCUUUUCUUCUAUGUUUAAAAAAUCGAAAUCAAAAUUAAGUGAAUGAUAUUUGCGGUUAUCCCUUCCCUUAACAGCAGAGGUCCCCCAUCUGUGCCUCUCCUGGAUUCUCCAAAGUUGGCUGUGGGAGGAGAAUCUCCAGCUGGGGGAACAACUGACAAACAGAACAACCCUGUCCUUCAGUUCUGACUUCCUUAUGGCCUCCCUGUCACUGUCCCCACCACACUGUCUCUUUGGGUUUCAGCCUCUCCAGCCCUGCUCUGCGGUCCAGUCUGGAAAGUUGGAAGCUCCGUCCCUCAGACGGCCCCCAGGGGGCCAUGCGACUUGGUUGUGGCUUUGUUUCAAAGGAAGGUCCCCUUGCGGAAAGGUGAGACGGCUACAGCAGCACUGACGGUGAAACCUCUGAUAGACACCUGGUCUUUCUGGCCAGGACCCAGGAACCAUGGACCUUGGAGCCAGACAGGAUGGGGAGAAUCUCAGAGCCUGGGCAGGUCUGUGUUUUGUGAGCCCCUGGACAACUGCUUAAAAGAAGAAAUGCAGCCAAAAGCAAUCGGUAAAUUAAAAUGAAAUACUAAAUUUAUUACAAACAAUAAUCUACUGUUAACAGAGUAGAUAAAAAAACAAGACACUACUUCAUUCUGCCUGAAAAGACACACUUAGAAUCUAAAGACUUAGAAUAUAAAGAAUAUAAAGAAAGAUUAAAAGAAAAUGGAUGGAGAAAAGAUCAUGCAAACUGUAAGCACAAGAAGAAUGAGAUGACUAUUUUGAAUAUUACAUAAAAUAAACUUAAGACAAGAUCAGAAAUAGACAGGGAUAUUUCAUAAGGAUAGAAGGCAUACACAGUUUAUCAGAGAGACAUAACAAUUAUAAAGAGGUUGGCUUUAAUAACAGAAUCUCAAAAUACAUGUAGCAAAAUUAAUAGAAUGAGAGGAAGAAAUAUAUAAUCUAUAAUUAUAGUAUUUUAUGCGUAACACACCCCUUCCAACAAUUGACAGGAAAACUAGACAAAAAAAAAUCAGUAAAGCCACCAAAUAUCUGAAUAACACUGUUGACUACUUUGAUGUAACUGAUAUUUAUAGAACACUACAUUCAACAACUGUAGAAUACUUAUUUUCACAAGUACACAUGGUGUAUUCACCAAGACGGAUUGCAUGCCUUGCCACAAAACAAGUCUCAAUAAAUUUAACAGGAUUUAAAUAAUAUAGAGUGUAUUUUCUGGCCACAAUAGAAUGGAAUUAGAAAAUAAUAAUAAGAUAACCAGGAAAAACAUAAAUACCUGGAAAUGAAAUAACACUUUUCUGAAUGAUUCAUGGACCAAAAAUCACAAUGGAAAUUAGAAAAUAUUUUUAACUGAAUGACAAUGAAUACAACAUACCAAAGCUUAUAGGAUGCAGAGAAAGCAGUCCUUGGAGGGAAUCUAUAGAUUGAUAUAUUUAUUUUAGAAAGGAAGAAAGAUUUAAAAUCUAGGACUAAGAUUCUACAUUCAUAAACUAGGAAAGGAAAAGCAAAGUAAACACAAAGUAAGUAGAAGGAAGGAAAUUAUAAAGAAGUGGGAAUAAAUCACUGAAUGAGAUCACACAAUACAGAAAAUCAAUGAAACCAAAAUCUGGUUCUUUGAAGAGAUCAAAGAACUGACAAAGUUUUAGCAAGACUGAUGAAAAAAAAGGGAGAGAAUUCAAACCACCAGCUUUAGGAACAAAGGAGAGGUUAUCAAAUACAGGUGCUUCAAGAAUGAGAAAGAUAAUAAGAAAAUGCUAGACAAUUUUUUUCCUAAAACAUUAGAAAACAGAAAAAAUAGACAAAUUUCUUGAAAAAUACAAUUUACCAAAAUCAACAAAAAUGAAGACAAUCUAAGUAGUCCUAUUAUAUUUAUUAAAGAAAGUAAAUUUAUUAUUAAAAGCAAAUCCUACUGAGAAAACUCAAGGUUCCAGUGGUUUCAAUGGUGAAGUCUGUGAAAAAUUAAAUAAAGGAGUAAUAAUUACCUUAUACAAACUUUUAAAAAGAUAGAAGGAAUCACUGCUCAACUUAUUGUAAGAUAUCAGUUUACCUUGAUAUCAAAACAUUAAAAAACAUUACAAGAAAAGAAAAUUACAGAUCAAUAUCCCUCGUAACUAUAGAUACAGAAACAUUAAUGAAAUAUUAGCAAAUUGGCAAAAUGAGUGAAGAGGGUCAACAAGUACAAACUUCCAGUUAUAAAAUAAGUAAGUCCUGGGGAUGGAAUGUAUAGCAUGGUGAUUACAGUUAAAAAUACUGUAUUAUGUAUUUGAAAGUUUCUAAAACAGUAGGCCUUAAAAAUCUUCAUCACAAGAAAAACUUUUGUAUCUAUCUAUGGUAACAGAUAUUGUUAGACUUACUGUGAUGAUCAUUUCACAACAUAUAUAAAUAUCAAAUCAUGUUGUAAAAUGAAACUAAUAUAAUAUUAUAUGUCAUUACACUUCAAAAAAUUUGUCGAAGGGGAGUGGGUGGGGAGGGAGGGAGAAGGGGAUGAAGGGACAUUAUGAUUAGCACACAUAAUGUAGGAGGGUCAUGGGAAGGCAGUAUAACACAAAGACAAGUAGUGACUCUAUAGCAUCUUACUACGCUGAUAGUGAUUAAAAUGGGGUGUGGGGGGAAUUGAUAAUAUGAAUGAGUGUUGUAACCACAAUGUUGCUCAUGUGAAACCUUCAUAAGAUUGCAUAUCAAUGAUAGGUUAAUAAAAAAAUAAUAAAUAAAUUCACACGCACACACACACAAAUUGUCAAAUGGAAUCCAGCAAUAUGUAAAAAGGAAGAUACAUCAUGAUCAGUUAAUAAUUUUUCCUAGGAAUGCAAGUUUGGUUUAACACUUGAAUCAGUGUAAAUCACUGCAAUAACAAAACACACUAGAAAAACCAUAUGACCAUUUUAAUAGAUGAUGAAGAAGCAGUUGAUGAAAUUCAACACUCCUUAAUGAUAUCAACUUUCAGUAAACUAGAAAUAGUGGGGAUCUUACUCAGAUUGAUAAAGGACAUCUACAUAAAACCCACAGCUGACAUCACGCUUCCUGUUGAGCCUGGGAAGGAGGCAAGAACAUGCUUUCACCACUUGCUGCAGUGUAAUGAACGUGGUGGUCAGAGGUCAACAGAUGCACUUGCCGUCUUACCUUGCUAUUUCAAAAUAAUAAGCUUGAGCAGUUUAUUUAUUUAUUCUCAGUUUAAAAUUUUUUCUUAUUGAAGUGCCGUUGAUAUACAAUAGUAUACUGGUUUCAGGUGUAGAACAUAGUGAUUCAACAAUUAUACUCAUUAUGAAAUGCUCACCACAAUAAAUGUAGUUACCAAAUGUCACCAAAGAUACUACAAAAUUAUUGAUUUUAUUCCCUAUGCUUUACUUUUCACCCCCAUGACUUAUUUAUUUUAUAAUUGGAUGUUUGUACCUCUUAUCCCUUUACCUGUUUUGCCCAUUCCCCCAGUUCCCUCCCCAUGGAAACCACCAGUUUUUCCCUCAUGUUUUUGAGUCUAUUUCGGUUUUGUUUGUUAAUUUGUUUUACUUUUUAGAUAACAGAUAUAAGUGAAAUCAUAUGAUAUUUGUCUUUCUCUGUCUGACUUAUUUCACUCAGCAUUAUACUCUCUAUGUCCAUCCAUGUUGCUGUAAAUGGUAAGAUUUCGUUCUUUUUAUGGUUGAGUAAUAUUCCAUUGUAUAGAUGUACCACCUCUUCUUUAUCCAUUCUUCUAUUGAUGGGCACUUAGGUUGCUUCCAUAUCUUGCCUAUUAUAAAUAAGGCUGCAAUAAAUAUAGGGGUUCAUAUACCCUUUUGAUUAGUGAUUUUGUUUUCUUUGGGUAAACUCCUGAAAGUAGAAUUACUGGGUCAUAUGAUAUUAGGACUGCAUCAAACUAAAAAGCUUCUGCAUAGCAAAUGUAACCAUCAAUAAAACAAAAAGGCAACCUGCUGAGUGGGAGAAUAUAUUUUCAAAUGAUAUCAUUUGACAUAAGGGGUUGAGAUCCAAAAUAUGUAAAGAACUCAUAAAACUCAACACCAAAAUAACAAAUAAUCUAACUUAAAAAUGGGCAGGACCCCAUUUUCAGAGGACCUGAAGAGACAUUUUUCUGAAGGCAACACACAGAUAACCAACAGAUACCUGAAAGAUGCUCCACAUCACUAAUCAUCAGGGAAAUGCAAAUCAAAACCACGUGAGAUAUCACCUCACACCUGUCAGAACAGCUAGUAUCAAACUACAAAAAAGAACAAGUGUUGGCAAGGAUGGGGAUAAAAGGGAACCGUCAUGCACUGUUGGUGGGAAUGUAAAUUGGCCACUAUGGAAAAUAGUAUGGAGUUUCCUAAAAAAAUUAAAAAUAGAAAUACCAUGUGACCCAGCAAUUCCAUUUUUGAGAAAUUUAUUUGAACUCUCUGAGGCUUAGUUUUUGCAUCUAUGAAAUGAGUAUAAUAGCCAAGAGGCUUCAUAAAUAUCACAUGUAUACCUAUCUAGUAGAGUACAGGCUCUCUGAAUGCAGAAACCAUUUCUCUUAUUUACUUCCAAGUCUUCAGUGCUUAACUCAAUACCUGGCACAUAGUAGAUAUUAUGCAAAAUAAAUUGACUUAAAUUAUUGGGAUUAAAACACUGAUAAAUGGGACCUUAAAGAUUCUUUAGCUUCCUAAAUGAAAUCCCAAGGCUAGGCCAUUUCCACUGAAAUACAGCUCUUUAAAAAUUUGGUGAACUUUGUAUUAAGUCAUUUAUUUUUGCUUGAUACUUGGUUGGUUUUGGAGAGUCCUGUUAAUCAUGUAUGCUUUGAUGACAAUGUCAGAGAUAAGACAAAUGCUUUGGCAUUGAACUCAGGACCCUCUCUUUGACAUCUUUUUGCUACUCAGUUAAGCAGUCCUGCACCCAGGCUAACUGCUUUCCCCUCUCUUCCUAAAACGUUCUUGCACUGCACCACUCCAGCCUUUGCUUAGGUCAUCUGUUCUGCCUGAAAGGCCUCCUUCCCUACUCCCUUCAAUGAACGUCCUACCCUAUCUUGAAGGCCUUCCCGUUAGGAGACCUUCUCUCAUUUGACAUUGACUUUGCUAUAAACGUUAUUUCCCUUCCCUGAGCUUUAGUGGAAAUAUAAUUAAGAAUAAAAAUAUCCUGCCAAUGCAGAAAUUACUCUCCACAAAACAUAGGCAAGGAAAAAAACAGUUUUAUUAUUGAAAAACCACAAAACCACAAGCUCUCUGCUAUAGACAAAAAGAAAUGCUACCCUUCUAUGCAGCCAACCAGGUGUACCCCAUUACAGCCGUAUUUUGAAGCUAAAUGAUAAUAAGUCCUCAAGUAAGAAGACUUGACAACACCAUUUGUCAUACAUACAUAGGGCAUCCUAAAUUUACCUGGUAAUUGGGGUGGCCAUCUGUAUUUACUAAUUGUCUUUAUUCAAAGGAAAAAUAACUUCACAUCUUUACAAGAGGUAGUUCCACAGGCGCCUUGCCAAAGUUAGGGUCUUACUCUUUCAUGGAAACUGGGAGAUAAGGGGGCCAUUUCUCUUGAUGAUUAUAUUGUAAAGAGAUGGCUCCCAGAUCUGAGGAAAGUAUUCUGGGGUUGUAAACCUGGUAAGAGGCUUAUUUAGCUUUGAAAAGAUUUACAUACAUCUCAAAGAUAGGUGAAUUUUGAAAUACAAAUUUUCUAAAGUAAAUACUCUGAGAAAAGGGAGGUGAGAAGUCUCUUCCUUUAUCUGUACUAAGAGAAUUUUUCCUUAGUUUUAAUUUGUAUUUGCCCUUACAAACUCACAUAGCCUCUUUUGUUAAUGCCAUUAAAAUGCUACUACCUUGAUGGAGGAUUCCGAAGGUACUCAUCUCUUUUUCCUGCUGGCAUAAAAUAUGUCCUGUGCAUGUGAGCUGUGAUACCUGUGUCCCACGUACAUUAUUGGAGGUUAACUUAAACUAGCUGAUUAAUCAUUAUUCCUGUGUGCUGGAGUAGCCAAGGUUUGGUUAUAUUUCAAAACCACUUUACUUUCAAAUAUGAACCAUCUAUUCUGUUAUUACAGUCUAGGUUUACUGUUAUUACAGUUUUAAGUUUACUUUGAUAAAUGCACUUUGGAGGAAAGAAGAAACAAAUCAAUUCUGAGGCCAAGUUUUUCAUAAUACUAAGUUCUGUUUAAUAUUUCAUAACGGCUUCUCAAUGCCACAGUUACGACCUUCAGUGUAGAAGGGAUGGCACUGAAGUCAUGCAUCGUAUACUGGUAUACCUAGAAGAGAAAUGAUCCAAAAUUUAAUCCAGUUAGACUUUUAGCAGCUGGAAUUCUCCAGGAGAUUUAUCCCCUCAUGCUUACAGUGUUAGUACCUGGUAGCAUGUUAGAAGUGCACAUUCUCAGGCUCCCUACACCUUCUCAAUCAGAAGCUAUGAAGUUGCAGUCCAGCAUCUGUGAUUUGGAUAUUCGCUAAGUUGAGAACCACUGACCUAACAUAUCCUUUGCAUGACACACAAUAAAUUCUUUCGAGUCUAGAAUCAUACUAGCUAUGUACCAUUCUUGGGAGAUUUGAGGAAAUUGUCCUCAAAUAAUCAUUUUUGUGUUCUGUGGCUGAGGUUAAGAAAGGCUAGGAUAUUCAGCUUUUUCAGACUGCUGCCCACCCUACAGUAACACCAAUACACAGGACAACUGGGUGACAUGUCCAGGACCUGGCAUCCUAGGCUUUCAUCUGUAAGGUUUCUAUUUAGCCCCGUCUCUGGCUUCUACCAUCAAAUCAUAAUAAUCCCCAGUCUCUCUGGCUCUCAUCCCUUGGGAUGUUGUGGUCUUCUGUGGACUGGCCUCUACUGACAUUCUUGGAAAUGGCCUCCCUCGGAGCCUGGGAGACACACCACGUGCAUCUGACGGGACCUGACUCUCUUCCUGAUGCUGGUUCUGGGGGACUCAGUAGUAAGAAACUAGUACCAAUGGCUGCAGAGUUGGAAGGAUGCCAUGUAUACAUAAUUUAGCAAAGUCAAGUAAAACCUAAGGACUUCAAUAGUGAAUCAAAUUGUGAGGAAAAGAAAGGAUAAAGUCUUCACUCUUUGAGGGCUUGCCGAUUUGUUAACAACUAUGGCAGCUUGCAGCGCGUAUACUUCGGAAAGGAAAGCCAAGUAAAAUGGGGGAAGCUGUUCCCUGCAGGGGAACAGCUGAGGAGAAGUCCCAGAGAAGGUGGCAAGAGAAGAAGAGACUUAAGUGAACAUGCCUAAUGAGAAUUUUUAAUAGUUUGCUUUGUGGCAUAUAAUGUCCUAUUCUAUUUCCCCUGCAAACAUCUUCAACAAAAUCUGCAUUGCUCAUUAAUGCAUUUAAUAUGAGUGAAUUCUCUCUAGGGAAGGCAACCAGUGCUGAGUUGAAGGUAGUCAAACACUGUAAAGAACAAAAACAGAGACUCCAUAUGGGGACACAUGCCCUCUCGGUCUUUAAUAGUGGAGAUUUAAAUCAUUUCCACAAAGAUGAUGACUCCUGGCUAUUUUCCAGCUCUCUUAAGGCCAUAAUAGAGAGAAUGGUUUAAAAAGUAAUUCAGAGAUUAUGUUGAUUUACAAAGAAUUUCCUAACAGUGGUACUACUGAAUAUUGGUAUGAUUUUAAGAAGGGUAUUCAAGAAUCAAAUGGGGGCAGGAAAUUUCUCUCACCUCUUUCUCUGGAGUGUGGCUGCUUUUCAUGAUCCAUUUUCAUUUGACCAAGAAGGUAGGAAUACUACCCCAGUCCUGGACUGUUCUAACCAGAGUGAGGACUGCAUCCUAGCCAUUCCCCAUCCUCAGCGGGGCAGGAUCCAGCUGGAGAAACUCAUUCUCCACUAGCUGGGGCGCUGUGAAGUGGUCUUUGGCUGCUGUUUCAAAGGCGGAGGGUUUCUCAAUACCCCCCACACAGUGCUCAUCUCCCCUCAACUUCCCAUGGUUCCAUGUGGAGCCUUUUUGCUUGGACCCAGCUAUCUUGACCUCGCAUGUUCACAUCCGCUACUUAAUACUGGUUUCCAAGAAUGUGAAAAAAUAUAUGCAAGAUAAUGAUUUUGUUUGGCUUAAGAAAGCAGACACAUCCUCCAGUUACAAGCAUCCACUUUCUUAGCCAGUUAGAUAAGAAAAACAACUUUAUUUCCAUCCCCACCCCUCUCAGUAAAAGCUUGUUAUCUACCCAGGACCUCAAGCCAGAAACCUAGGGGCCAGCUCUCGUGCUUCUCUUCCCAUCAUGUCCCACAGCAGAUGUACUGCCAAACCAGAGUGAUUUUACUUUCAGAUUACAGCCAGACCUUGGUCACUUCCCCCAUCCUCCCUGCCACUGCCCUCCUGCCCUGGGCUCCGUCCCCUCCUAUGUGGGCCACCACACUGCCUCCAGUCUGGUUUCCCUGCUUCGGUUCUCAUUUAGUCAUCACAAAGCAGGUAUGGUGCUCUGCUUCACAUGUAAAGGCAACCAUGUCAUUGUCCUUCGCUGAUGCCCCCAAACCUUCAAUGAUUUCUCAAUGUGUUUAAUAAAUUCCGAACUUCAGAACAUGCCUACAUAAUAUUUGACCCUGCUUACCUCUUUAAGCACAUUUUGUGUAUUUUCCUCCAGUGCUUUUGUUGACUAAACUGCUUGCCUAGUUCCACUGUAUUGGGAUGAAUGGUAUCUACAGACUUACCAAAGCCAGAAAUGGUAGUAGUCUAUAUAUAGCCUUAGCCUUAGAAUUAUUCUGACAGCUCAUACUUAACUGUACACCACUGGCAUUUCUUUUCCCUCACUAAAGCAUUUAACCUUAGAUAAACGCGUGCCGUGAAUUUAGCUACUGCAGUGAUAUGUGUUUACCAACUAAACUUGUAACCAUUCUCUACCUCUUCCAAAAUGGCAACUAUCUUUAGUUUCUUGAAGAAUCAUGCACAUAUUUGCCUAAGCAUGUUAAUUCUGGAUCUAUAACAGUAUAAAAUGUAUCACACAGGCAAAGCAAAUAUAAUAUGUAAACAUAUCAUAUCAAAUAUCUUAUACCUGCCUUCAUCACCAUGGAAGAGAAUCAGACCUUAAAAAAAUCCUUGAUUUUCUUUAAUCUUUAUCUUAGAAUUUUCUGUGUGAUUGCUCAAUGUUAUAUAUUUUAUGGAAAAACAGCUGGAAAAUGCUGCAAAUCAUAGCUAAGCCAAAAAGUCUGGUGUGCUUCCCUUUAACCCAGAGGAUGGACAGUCUGCAUGGGACUUGUGUGAGAGAAGUGGUGGAAGGAACACAUCUGAUUUGGCAUAUUAAUCACUGCACACACUGGUGAUUUUCAUGUUUCCUCAUCUCAGGUGGCAGAAUCAAAUUGGGUAAUUUGAAAAGAGUUUAAUAAAAAAAAAAGUGCUUACAAAUGUAUAGAUAGGGUUGAGAAAAAGCUGGAAGGAAAGGUAUGGGGCUUUGGGAUAUUUGAAUAUAUAAAUUUCUGUUGAGUUUGGGUUUAUUUGUUACAGCAGUUAGCCUAUCCUAAUACAUAAGUGAUCUUUAAAAAUUUAUAAUUAAAAAGUACACAUUAUCUAUGUCCAUUUCUAAAUUAAUUUUUAAAUUGGUAAUAAAUGUACAUGAAUCAAAAAUCUAAAGGAAUAAAAAGUCUGAAGUAUUAAGUCUCUCUCCCCCAUCCCUUGCAGGCAAUCACUCUAAUUCAUUAAUUGUGAAUCUUCCAUAGACAUAUUAUAAAUAAGCAAACAAAAUUAUUCUUUUGUUUUCCUUUUUUUGGGCACAAAUCUUAGUAGAACUUUCCUUACUCUGUAUCAGUUUCUGUUCUAAGAAUUUUACUUUAAGCUCAUUUAAUCCUCUGUAAGGUAGCUACUUUUAUAACCCCUAAUUUAUGGAUGAGAAAACUGAGGAAUACAUGAUUUGCUUGAGAUCACACAGCUAAUAAGCACAGGGGGUGGGAUAUGAACCCAGGCUUUCUGAUUUCUGAUCCCAUCUUCUUAACCACUGUAUUGUAGGGCUUCAGAGAUAACCAGAAUUAACAUAAUGAAUGUAUUUUAUCCUACAGUUGUUACAAAGAUGGUAUUGUACUGUUCCUGUAGUAUAAUAAUGUAUUUUUUUUAAUUCCAUUUAUUCCCUUCUGCUGGUUUGGGAAUUACAUACUUACUAUUUUUUUAGUCAUUGUUAUUAAAAAUAUAACACACAUAUUUAACAUAAAAUCUAUAAUUAGUAUUUCUAUUCUCAUUCAAAAUUCGCAUUUGCUUCUGUUGGGUAUCAGAUCGCACCACCAGCUUGGAAUGGAACCCCUUAAACUUGUAGAUCUGAGGAUUACCUAUACAGAGAGUAAAAUCUGAACCCAGACUCAUAUUAGAGCAAAGUUAUAACUAUCAUUUCUUAGAAAGUCUGUUGUUCAUUAUUAGUAUACUUUUUUCCACCCAGAAAAGGAGCAGAAAGAGCUCCUUCCCAUGUGGAUUCCAUGUUUCCAGCUAGACAGCUGCUCGAGGACCUUGUUCUGAGUGACUCCCGACAUGCUUCAGUCCAAGGGCUGCUCUCUAAUUCCCUGAAUCAAACGGCCAGAAUCCCCCGAACUCUGGGCUCCUGAAAUUGGUUUUUAUUCACAGAAGCACCAACCUCUGUCCAUCUUUGCCUACCUCUGUAUUUUAGCUUACUCUCUUCAUGUUUUUCUGGCCCUUUGGGAUUUCUUACACUGCGUGCGGAGCCCAGCGCUGCAUUGAAGAGCACGUUGUCCUGUCCCUGGUCGCUGGGCGUUUCAUGACGGAGGAGGGGGAGCUUCUCAGGCUGCCUCGUCUCCACGGUGCUCCGCGCAGGUCCCCUGAGGGAUAUUCUCGCAGGGCAAGCUCUGUACCCCUAGUAAGAGUAUUUUAGUGGAGUCUCAAUGAUCCUAUAAUAAAGACCAUGUAUCGUUGGCAUGGACUAUGAAGACCUCCUUAAUGUAGUGGUAAUUUUACAUUUGGUUGAGUUACCAUUUUAUCACCGUGGGUAGCCAGCCUCCGGGAUGGCGCCGGGAUUCUCACCCCUGGGGUCGGUGCCCUGGACGCUCCCCUCCCACGCCGGCUGGGGCUGACGCAGGGCCUAGGGCUCCGUGGGAAUGACCGCAUGCGCUCCCCGGUGACGCACUGUUGUUUCUGCCCUGCCCUCUCGGAUCCCUCGUUCUGGGAAAAGUAGGCUGCCUUGUCCCAUGGUCGCCCGCUCAGCCCCGGAGGCGGAGUCCCGGCGGCGAGGAGCUGCCGCAUCUUGCAUCGCCAGUUGAGCUUCCAUCGGCCAACAUCUCGACUCUUGCAGAAACUGAGACAGAACCAUGUAGCGAAACCACUUCCAAACUGCUGAUUCACGGAAAUGUAUAAGGCUCCUUGAAAUGGGGUUUGCAGAGCAGCUACAGGAAAUCAUCGGCCGCCUCCCCGGAGGCUACCAGACUGUCCUCUUCUCUGCCACACUGCCCAAACUGCCAGUGGAGUUCGCCCAGGCAGGUGAGUGAGUCGGGGAGCAGGGCUGGGGCCUGGGACUUGGUCAAGACCUGGGGGGCUUGUAUGUCAGUGACUCCCCCCACACCCUCCCUGUGCCCACUGCAGGCCUCAUGGAGCCUGUGCUCAUCCGGCUAGAUGUGGAUGCCAAACUCAACGAGCAGCUAAAGGUGAGGGUACCGCUGUGCCCCUUCCCAGGCCCAGAACCUGGCCCCGUGAGCCAA